AUAGAUGAUCAUGUAUGAAGACAAUGUUGCUUGUAUUGCUCAAAUCAGAGAAGGAGAUUAAUCAGGGGGAGAUAUCAAUCAGGGGGAGCAUCCCAAUUCUACUACAUUCAAGGCAGAUGCGCGUUGUACUCUUUUUCCCUUCGACUAGGUUUUUGUCCCACUGGAUUUUUCUUAGCAAGGUUUUAACGAGGCAAUAUAAGCUCAUC
rnacentral:lncRNA from 1 species